CCUACGGGGGGCAGCAGUGAGGAAUAUUGGUCAAUGGGCGAGAGCCUGAACCAGCCAAGUCGCGUGAAGGAUGACGGCCCUACGGGUUGUAAACUUCUUUUGUCAGGGAGCAAUUGAGUCCACGUGUGGGCUUAGCGAGAGUACCUGAAGAAAAAGCAUCGGCUAACUCCGUGCCAGCAGCCGCGGUAAUACGGAGGAUGCGAGCGUUAUCCGGUUUUAUUGGGUUUAAAGGGUGCGUAGGCGGAAUAUCAAGUCAGCGGUAAAAAUUCGGGGCUCAACCCCGUCGUGCCGUUGAAACUGAUGUUCUGGAGUGGGCAAGAAGUAGGCGGAAUGCGUGGUGUAGCGGUGAAAUGCAUAGAUAUCACGCAGAACUCCGAUUGCGAAGGCAGCAUACCGGCGCCCAACUGACGCUGAAGCACGAAAGCGUGGGUAUCGAACAGGAUUAGAUACCCCGGUAGUC
rnacentral:rRNA from 1 species